ACCUGAGCCAAAGUUGCACGCUUAACUGACUGAGCCACUCAGGCACCCCAACAUUUUUUUAUCCUUACCAUGGUCAGGAUUUAUCACCAAUCCUAGUGUUGUUUGAAUAGCUCUGCAUUGCUCUGAGUUUCUUCGUACCAGGAUUUCUUGUAUAUCAAUUCCUUCCAUAAAGCAAAUGAUGAGAUCUCACUUAUCUUAGAACCAUAUCUAAUAAUCCUAAUUAUUAUGGUUAUCCUGACAGUGACAACUAAGGGGAAGUUGAGAUUUAAAAAAUGGGACACCUGGGUGGCUCAGUCAGUUGGGCCUCUGACUUGGGCAUCUGACUUUGGCUCAGAUCAUGAUCUCACAUCUAGUGAGUUCAACCCGUGGACUCAAUACUGAAAGCUCAGAGCCUGUGUAGCCUGCUUUGAAUUCUGUGUCUCCCUCUCUUUUCCCCUCCCCUGCUCACACCGUGUCUCUGUCCUAUCUCUCUAUCUCUGUCUCUGUCUCUCUCUCUUUCUCUCAAACAUAAGUAAAUUAUUUUUUUUUUUUUAAAUCACAGCAGAGGUCGUGGCCUUCCAGGCUUGGUGGUAGGAUGGGCAAUGCAGAACAUGAGAAAUUAGUGUUAGCUCUGCCUUCAUGAUGGUUUCCAAUUUGUUCUCUUAAUUCAACCCUCUACUUUAAUAUUUUCUCCCAUUGUCCGUGCAGGAGCAGCCUCCUUCCCAGUAACUUUCUUUUACUCUUUUGCACAAAGUUGAUCUUUAUUUCAUGAAUUUAUUAUUUUUUUUCUCUGUUUCCUUUCCGUGGCAACUAUCAUGAUGAUAAGUUGACGAGAUCUGCAUUAAGCUGUGAGCAAGGGAAACUGGACUUUCCUUAAAAGAACAAAUUAAGGCCACUUGUAUUAAUGAACACUUCUAGAAUAUUUGACACAUCAAGAAGAACAAAGAAAGCUUGUUUGUUGCCAAUCUAGAAAAAAUUCAACAAGUGCUAUUGAUGUGCAGGCCAGAAUACAAAGACUGACUUCAGUGAACAUGUGUUACAUAUCAGACACUUUCUUCGAUGCUGCCCAAGAACUAUUUAUUGUACACCACAUCUGAGCCAUAAUUCCAGCAUUCAGAAUCUCACUGUAUUGUCAGCCGACCUGUAACCCAACAAACAAAUGCUCCACAUUAUGAUUAAUGAUAUAUCAAAGUCUGAACAAAAUGAAUGGGACACAGAGAGGGGGUGGCAAACCUCAUCCAUCAGCAGUUUUCAGGAGGUCUUCAAGGUGAUAGAGUUCAUUAACCUGGAAAACGACAAAAGAAACUGCAUGAACAAUAACAUGGAAGAUGACUGGACGGAGGAAUUAUAAAGCCAGGAGGCAUGCAUGGCACUUAAGGUUUAAGAGAGGGAGAAUAUGGUCUGCGUAAGAAAAAUGGCUUAAUGCAAAGCCUCCUGUCAACCAUUUAGGUAUUAGGAGAGUCUCCAUUUGCAACAUCAGAUUAGAACAUUUACAUGUUGUAGUAGUUACUUAGAUUAAAUAGGAAAAUUACAGCAUUACAUAUUCUAUCAA